CCUACGUGCGGCAGCAGUGGGGGAUAUUGGACAAUGGGGGAAACCCUGAUCCAGCGACGCCGCGUGAGUGAAGAAGUAUUUCGGUAUGUAAAGCUCUAUCAGCAGGGAAGAAAGAAAUGACGGUACCUGAGUACGAAGCCCCGGCUAACUACGUGCCAGCAGCCGCGGUAAUACGUAGGGGGCAAGCGUUAUCCGGAAUUACUGGGGGUAAAGGGAGCGUAGACGGUAAUGCAAGUCUGGAGUGAAAGGCGGGGGCCCAACCCCCGGACUGGUCUGGAAACGGUGUAACUGGAGUGCAGGAGAGGCAGGCGGAAUUCCUAGUGUAGCGGUGAAAUGCGUAGAUAUUAGGAGGAACACCAGUGGCGAAGGCGGCCUGCUGGACUGUAACUGACGUUGAGGCUCGAAAGCGUGGGGAGCAAACAGGAUUAGAUACCCGAGUAGUC
rnacentral:rRNA from 1 species